AGUUUAAAGUUGUCUGUCUUUCUAAGAUAAGCUAACUGAAGCUAGUUAGCAUGUCGUGAUAUGCCAAUUUUAAAGAGCCGCUCUUGUGAAUAUGAGCUUUGAACAGUYAUUAACCACAAUAGCUGUGGCUUAAAAAUAUCGACAUGAGUUCUUGGUAGCUUCCGUUUUUAACAUAGCUAAGGUGGCUUCUCAUUUAGCUUCUGAUUCGGGAAACGGUUAAAGGGCAAUUCCGCCUAGUAUUUCACUAACUGAGGGUGUUUGAUGUGCUGUAAUUUAAAAACUUAAAUGCAAUGAGUCUAAAAGGUUAGAUAUUCCACACUGUUACCAGGAUAUUUUAAACACCAUUUUUUAAUUUAGCACAUGAACUAAAAUAAGACUUGUUUUAUUUUUCAAGUAAACCAAACUGUUGCCAUGGUGAAGCCUAUGCCAGACACAUCGUCAAUCACGUAUUGCACCAUCUACAAGAAACUUUGGGAAUUGCAAGUGACAACGUCCUUCACAUUCUUGAGCAGAUGACCCAACAACUUCAAACAAGACCACUUUUCAGCUCUGUGGUGAUCGUGAAACCAACUUUCUACUGGCCAUUGGAACCAUSCCUGCCUGYCCUGAUCUUCUGAAAGGAGGACAUCACAGCUACUACACCUUUCAGCAUGCUUGUGUGUGGCCACUCCUCUCUGUGCUGCUGACAGACGUCUUGAGAACMCCGUCCGUAACUGAGGCAAGACUUCCACAUAUAGAAGGCUAUGGCUGAUUGGAAGAAGUUCAUUGUGGAGGAAGCUCCUAUUGUUGACAAUCUAAUCCCAAGAUUUUUUUUUUGCUUUGGACAAUUUGAUUUGCUUGACUCUUAGGGCAUCUUAUGAGUGUGGCAGAUGUGUCGGUUCGUCAAUGUUCUGUCAUUUUACAGGAUUGUUUCAGAAUCAGAUGCCMAUCCAGACUUUAAAUUCUGACCAGUAGUCAUGUUUUAUUGUGUUUAUGUGAAACUUAAAUGUAAUAAAGAUGUUAAAAGUAA